rnacentral:rRNA from 1 species
CCCAGAUCGUUUACCGUGAAAAAAUUAGAGUGUUCAAAGCAGGCAGAUUCAAUUUUCUGCCACCGAAUACAUUAGCAUGGGAUAAUGGAAUAGGACCCUGUCCUCCUAUUUUCAGUUGGUUUUGGCAGCGCGAGGACUAGGGUAAUGAUUAAUAGGGAUAGUUGGGGGCAUUAAUAUUUAAUUGUCAGAGGUGAAAUUCUUGGAUUUAUGAAAGAUUAACUUCUGCGAAAGCAUCUGCCAAUCUCUCUUUUCUUUAAUCAAGAACGAAAGUUAGGGGAUCGAAGACGAUCAGAUACCGUCGUAGUCUUAACCAUAAACGAUGCCGACCAGCGAUUAGGAGACGUUGAAUACAAAACACCACCAUCGGCGCGGUCGUCCUUGGCGCGUUCGUGUUCACGCACGGGCGCGCGAGGGCGGCUUAGCCCGAUGGCACCGGUGAAUGACUCCCCUAGCAGCUUGUGAGAA